rnacentral:rRNA from 1 species
ACUCCUACGGGAGGCAGCAGUGGGGAAUAUUGCACAAUGGGCGCAAGCCUGAUGCAGCCAUGCCGCGUGUGUGAAGAAGGCCUUCGGGUUGUAAAGCACUCUCAGCGGGGAGGAAGGCGAUAAGGUUAAUAACCUUGUCGAUUGACGUUACCCGCAGAA